CUCCAGAUGCCCAAAAGUGAUGGAGCUCAGCCCUCCAAACUGCUGUUCACGUCUUACAAAGAAGGUGCUGGCACCAGACCUGCUAAUUGCAGUGGCUCUUUCCACAUAGACCUGGGGACACAGGGAGCCCCAGACAGCACUGGAAAUGGCUGGCAGUGCAGCAACCCGGUGAGCAGGGCUGUGCAGGGGAGAGUAGCACAGGGCAGCAGGGCAGGAGGCUGCUCCUUCCUUCCUUCCUCCCCUCUGCCUUGCAGAUGGACAGCCCAACAGCCUGCCAGCACCUUCAGUGCUGCACACAUCAGCGCCUCCAGGAACCACAAGGGAUGGUGUGAAACAGAACUCUGAAGACCAGGACGGAACAAGAGCCUAAAAGGGAUGGAUGGGCCCAAUGCAGAAAUACCACAGGCACCACGUCCAGAACAGAAGGAAGCACCGUAAGCGAGCGCUGCUGAGACCGGGAUGGAAGUUGAGGAGCCACCAAGACUGCCAGCCUUCCUGCCUCGACCCCCAGACAACCACCGAGAAACCAGCACACAAUUAAAGACUAUUUGCACAACCUUCAGAAUAAACUUUCUCAUUCCUUACA